GGACCUCUCGGGGUUACAGCCUUGCUGAAUUAUUCACCCUUGUCUUUUGCGUACUUCUUGUUUCCUUGGUGGGUUCGCCCACCACUAGGACAAACAUAAACCUUUUGUAAUUGCAAUCAGCGUCAGUAACAAAUUAAUAAUUACAACUUUCAACAACGGAUCUCUUGGUUCUGGCAUCGAUGAAGAACGCAGCGAAAUGCGAUAAGUAGUGUGAAUUGCAGAAUUCAGUGAAUCAUCGAAUCUUUGAACGCACAUUGCGCCCUUUGGUAUUCCAAAGGGCAUGCCUGUUCGAGCGUCAUUUGUACCCUCAAGCUUUGCUUGGUGUUGGGCGUCUUGUCUCUAGCUUUGCUGGAGACUCGCCUUAAAGUAAUUGGCAGCCGGCCUACUGGUUUCGGAGCGCAGCACAAGUCGCACUCUCUAUCAGCAAAGGUCUAGCAUCCAUUAAGCCUUUUUUUCAACUUUUGACCUCGGAUCAGGUAGGGAUACCCGCUGAACUUAAGCAUAUCAAUAAGCGGA
rnacentral:rRNA from 1 species